GACGAACGCUGGCGGCGUGCUUAACACAUGCAAGUCGAACGGAAAGGCCCUGCUUUUGUGGGGUGCUCGAGUGGCGAACGGGUGAGUAACACGUGAGUAACCUGCCCUUGACUUUGGGAUAACUUCAGGAAACUGGGGCUAAUACCGGAUAGGAGCUCCUGCUGCAUGGUGGGGGUUGGAAAGUUUCGGCGGUUGGGGAUGGACUCGCGGCUUAUCAGCUUGUUGGUGGGGUAGUGGCUUACCAAGGCUUUGACGGGUAGCCGGCCUGAGAGGGUGACCGGCCACAUGGGGACUGAGAUACGGCCCAGACUCCUACGGGCGGCAGCAGUGGGGAAUAUUGCACAAUGGGCGGAAGCCUGAUGCAGCAACGCCGCGUGCGGGAUGACGGCCUUCGGGUUGUAAACCGCUGUCGACUGUGACGAAGCGUGAGUGACGGUAAUGGGUAAAGAAGCACCGGCUAACUACGUG
rnacentral:rRNA from 1 species